GACGAACGCUGGCGGCGUGCCUAAUACAUGCAAGUCGAACGCAGUGGGGAUGGGUGAGUAACACGUGGGUAACCUCCCAGCAGAGGGGAUAACACUUGGAAACAGGUGCUAAACCGAUACUGAUGGAUGGACCCGCGGUGCAUUAGCUGGUUGGUGAGGUAACGGCUCACCAAGGCCACGAUGCAUAGCAGACCUGUGUGUGUAAUCGUCCACACUGGGACGGAGACACGGCCCAUACUCCUACGGUAGCCAGCAGUAGGAAAUCUUCGGCAAUGGACGAAAGUCGGACCGAGCAACGCCGCGUGAGUGAGAAGGGUUUCCGGAUCGUAAACCUCUGUUGUGAGGACAGCGGUAUCUUACCAGAAAGCCACGGCUAACUACGUGCCAGCAGCCGCGGUAAUUC
rnacentral:rRNA from 1 species